UACGUAGGGGGCUAGCGUUGUCCGGAAUCAUUGGGCGUAAAGCGCGCGUAGGCGGCCCGGUAAGUCCGCUGUGAAAGUCCAGGGCUCAACCCUGGAAAGCCGGUGGAUACUGCCGGGCUAGAGUCCGGGAGAGGCGAGUGGAAUUCCUGGUGCAGCGGUGGAAUGCGCAGAUAUCAGGAGGAACACCUAAGGCGAAGGCAGCUCGCUGGGACGGUACUGACGCUGAGGCGCGAAAGCGUGGGGAGCAAACAGG
rnacentral:rRNA from 1 species